CGGCGCCGCCGCAUCUUUUCCAGCCGGCGAACCCUUCCCCCUCCCCCAUCGCCACUUCCUCCAGCCGGCGAACAAGCGAGAAAGAUCUCGAAAAGGGCAUCAAAGCAGAGCACUAAUGAACACAAAAAAAUAAACACAUUUCAAAUUUAUUUGAAACUCAGAUCUGCAAAUUGCUGCAAAUUGAUUCCCCAACAAAUCCUCCAUCCUCUACAAAUCCUCGCUGCUACAAAUCUUCGAAGAGGGAGAAUGACGUGGGUUUCAACCACCGCCGAGCCUAUCGCCGUCGCCGCUACAAAUCUUCGAAGAGAGAGAAGGCGGAUUGGCGGGCGCCGCUGCUGGAUCUCUGGAUCUCGGCGCGGUACCGCUUGUGGAGCUUCUCCAUCUUGUGGCGGCACUGGACGGAGGUCUUGGGCGGGGCACCGCGACGCCACGUCGUCGGCGACCUCCUGCCAGUGGUUGCCGCGGCGAAGGGAGUACCACUUGUCCUUGUAGGCGUCGAUGAGGGCGACGGUCUCCUCGGGGCUCCAGCACGGCGGGGGGAGGCUAGCGUGGCGGUGGGGAUGUCGUCGGGGGAGGAUGGGGAGAUGAUCGUAGCCAUGGUGGGGGAUGAGAUCCGGGGGAAUUAAGGGGGAACUGGGAAGGGGGAUGGAGAAGAGAGAGAGAGAGAAGGUGACGUGGGAGGAGGAGGGGGAAGAGAGAGAGAGAGAGAGCGACGUGGGGGUGGACGGUGGGGAGGGGGGNGUCGUAUAUCACUACUAUACUCAGCAACAAGGAGAGUUCUGCCCAUUAAUGUAUGUGCGUUGGCGUAGCGGUAGAGUGAUUAAUAUUUGAGAUUAAAGUUGUAAAUUUAUCAUAGGAAAAUGAAGAAUAAGAAAAAGUGGAAAAAAUUUAUCACGCCAUUUAUUUUUCAUUGCAGAUUCGCAUGUUCUUAGGAAGAAAGUCAUGAAAAAAAUAUUAUCAUAUAUACCACUAUUUUAUGAUAAUAUAUAUUUUCAUGAAAUAUGAGUGAACCGAGGGCCGAAAAAUGAGCUAUACAUCCGAAUUCUUUUUCCAUGGAGGAAAAUGAUCUAUUAUACAAAAUAUGUGAAAAAAGUUGCAAACUGGGUGAAAGUAUACAUUUUCCACAUGUUUUUUAAAAAAGAAAAAAGAUGAGAGUUCACAAAAGAUAAGUCUGAAGUUAUUUAUACUGUCAACGAGUAAUACAAAAAUAAAUAAGAAGAAUUUACUCCCUCCGUCCCACUGUAAGUGAGACCUUUUUUUUGGGCACGGGAAUUAAGAAAUGUGUAUUUUGUAUGUAAGUGAAAAAGUGAAAAAGUGUUUAAAGGGAAAAACUUUUACGUAAAAAGGAAAGAGUCUCACUUACAAUGGGACGCCCAAAAUAGAAAGAGUCUCAGAUACAGUGGGACGGAGGGAGUACAUGAUAUACUAAUUCUAAAAGCUAUGGAAACAACAAAGCAAUAUAUACUUAAUUUUAUUUUUAAGUGAAAUCUAAUAUAUCGAUUUACUAACAAAAAUCUGACCCAAAAAUAUACUUGCACGGUCGGAAAUAUAUGGAUUUGCCACUAGUAGGCAAAUGGGCAAAUGAAUUUUUCCACUCGUGGGCAUUUUAUAGUUAACUUCAUUGAAUUAAAUAAUUUGUUGAAAAAGUAUAAAAUAUAGUAUAAGGAAAAUUUAAGAAUGUGUUUGUAAUUGGGAUAUUAGGAAUAAUUUAAUCAAAUUGUACGUAUAAUGCAUGUUUUUAUAAAAAUAAGUAUUUUUCAUAUACAUUUAACGAAACUGUGCAUUUUAUUUUUUCACCCUAAUUUUUGCACUUAUUUAACAAUAUAUACGAGUGACAUGACACAAAAUAAAAGAGAGAUUCCAAAGUAAUGCAGGUCUUGAAAAUGCCGUCAAUGAUGAAACCCUAAUUUUAACCACCGGAAAAGAGAGGGAAAAACGAACAGUAAAAAGUUCAAAAGAAAGGCUAAAGUUGAAUUAAGAAACAGUAAAACAUAUAAAAAGAAGCUCAAUGAUACUUAACCUUUCUUAACUAACAAAACCGCGUACUCAACAACUUGCUUUUACAUUCACCAUUGAGAGGCUCCAAAAAAAGAAAAGCUAUUUGUCAAGGGUGAAUUAUUAAAGCAUAUAUCUAGAUCAAUUUAGCCAUGGACACUAUAUAAAAUAAUAUGAAUACUCAUUAACCAUAUUUUAAUUUCCUAAAUUUUUUUCUCAAAGUAGUAAAUUUUUAUAUUGCUAAAAAGAACCCUUAAUUCUUUUAAUUUCCUCCAAAAGUCCUGAUGAUCACAAGGCUACCUGCACCACUUAUUUUAAGAGAAUAUAUUAUUUGAACUUCCUAUCAAAAUAGGCACAUUAUUUAAUAAUGGAAGGGGUAUGUUUUUAAAUGUAAAUAAGGUAAGAGAAGACUUUUUUUUCUUUUGGAAGGUCUUGUGGAUUCCAUAUAUAAUACUCAAUUUCCUUUUUUUUGUAUUCUGUUUCACAAUUAUGAUUUUGAAUGUGAAUUGAAUAGGCUGUUUUUAUUCAGUAAGGUCGCUUGCUGAUUUCUUGUCUUUUAUUGACCUUGUCACUCUAUAUAACCAUCAAAUUCUUGUCUCUCAUCAAAACUCCCUCUCCUCCAAAACAUUGUUUUCUUCUGCAACAUUUCACUUCUCAAAACAUAUAAAAAGUUUAAGAUACUUUUAGAGAGAGAGAGAGAGAGAGAAUGGGAGAGAUGGCUUCUCUUUGGUGUUAUGCAGAGGUAUGGCUACCUAUUUCACUUAGUUAAUUUCUUCAUUUUCUAUAUCAAUAUUUUCUUCCAAAAAUUGUUGAUGAUCAAGUACAUUGAUUCACCAUGUUAAAACUUGAAAAAAAGUAAAUGUCUCAAGUUUGAAGAAGAGUUUAAGUACUCAAUGAUUAUAUAGUUUGAGAAAUCAUCAAUUUACAAUCAUUUUGCAGUUUAAAUAUAUGAAGUAAAAUCAGUAGUCUUUUAUUCUGAUGCAAUGAAAUGAAUAGGCUUCUUCUCCGACAAUCAUUUUUUUUUUUUUUAUUUUCUGACGUUUUGAAGAAAUUAAUGAUACAGCAUGGUGAAAUUGAUCAACUGGGGCAGAAGCUUCUGUACACGAGUCUGGAACUGGAGAAGCUGAAAUCCGAAGCCAUGGAAGAAAUGCGGAAGAACAAAGAAUACGUGAAUCAACUCAUCCAGCUCCUCAAAUGCGCCAUCGAAGAGCGAGACGAAGCAAGGAAGCAGCUCGACAAACUCAUCGGCGCCGGCGCCGACAUCUUCCCCUAUUUCCAAGGCGGCGGCGGAGACAGCCCUCUGCUCAAGCCGGCGAAGGCCAAUUCGAGCAUAACCGAAUCCAACAGCCUCUCCGACACGCACAACUACCACUCCCCCUUCGACGCCGCCGCCGUCUCCUCGCCGCCGAUCAGCUUUGUCCAGCAGGACUCCGCCGUCGAUCGGGCCUCGUUGGUGGUCGAUAACCUCUCCAAGGGGAGGCUUCUGCCGCCCAAGGGGAUGCUUCUGCAGGCGGUCCUUCAAGCGGGGCCGCUGCUGCAGACGCUGAUGGUGGCGGGCCCGCUGCCGCGGUGGCGGAACCCGCCGCAGAUGCACCCGUUUCAGAUACCGCCGGUCGGCAUCAAAGGCGGCGGGGCGGAGUUCGCUUCCCAGCAGAGUAGUUCGAUUUUGUCGGAUUUUGGUGAUUUGAAUUAUGGGAAUAAUAAUAAUGCUUCUUUGAUAUCGCCUGCGGCGGUUAGUAGUAAUGGCGGCGGCUGCUUCCGGUUGGCCAAACGCCAGAGGUUCUGUUGAAGUUAUACUCAUUAAUUAAUUAAUUAUAUAUAUAUAGUUAGACCGAACAAUUUUUUGUAUAAUUAGGAGAUGGAGGAGUACUGCUGUAAAUGGAUUAUUACUUUAUUUCAUUUUAUUGCUUUUCUUCAAAUAUGUAGUAUAUUUUUGGUGUUUUAUUUCACUCGUAAUGCAAUUAGAUAUCCGGAUUUGAGUAUUUUGUAAUGAAUCUUGAUCCCGUCUGAUUUAGUUAUUGUGGUCCUCUAAUUAUAUAUACAAGGAUCAAAACUACCUAGGGAUUGGACUUCAAAUAAAGUAAGCCAGAUCAUGGCUAUAUUUUGGACUUUAAACUAUAAAAGUAACUAAAAUUAAUAAUUCUUCUAAUUUUCUUUUGACGAGAAAUACUUCUCAUAAUAAAUUACAUAUUCGACACAAAAGAUUCCAAAUGCUCUAGUGAUUUUGUGUUAAUCAUAGGUAAAGGAAUUAACAAUCUUUUACGAAUCCACAAAACAAAUAUGCGUAGCUUGGUCUAUAAUGAAACCAUAGUUCAUUACUAAUUAAAACAAAGCGGACGAAAGAAUCGAGAAUCGAGUGGCUAAGAAAUUUCUCAGAAGACAUCCCUCGUUGGGAAAAACCUAUGCUUCAUGUUAUGAUAUGUUGUGACACUAUAUAUAGUGCAUAAAAUAGUAUGUGUAAUGGUAAGUUUUGACACAUUCAUUGAACAUACAAUAUCGUUUGAUGAUUGAUCACAGCUAAUGUGUAAUGAUUAUGUAUAGUUAAAAGAUAACAUAUAAAAUCUGUUUACUAAAGGAAUUAAUCGUGAUCAAUCAUACAAUGCAGUUAGGAGAACAAAAUUAAAGUUCACAAUUAAAGAACAUUUUUAUAGUGGUAAUUCAACUAUGAAGAUCCGAAAACUUGAUUCAAUAAGACAAUUAAAUUAUGAAUGUUCAGUUGUGCACUUGAAAGCACAACUUUAAAAUUCAUUGUCGAACUACCCAAAUGGAAAGAGGGCUGUAGUUAAUUAAUUUCAUUUUCACGCAAUUUUUCCACACAAAUAACAUAAACUAUAGUUGAACAAGACAAAAUAAAAUAGAACUUCCAUGUUCCAUAUAGAUUUAAUACGACGUGGUUUCAUGCUUUAUUGUUAAUCAAAUAAUAAGAAAUAUAUAAAAAUUAAUAACGUCUUUGGAUAACUUAAGUGGGAAUUAAUGAGUGAGGGGAGAGGUCCAAGUAUAAGCGCCCUAGUCGGCCUUUAAAUGCUGAUGGGCCAUUAUAUUAUAGCAAGUUGGGCUGAAAGGUCCAAUUAUAUUCAACUUAUAUAGAAAAUUAUGACCCGAGUUGAAAAAUUAACAUGAUUUUUGAAAGAUGCAAUAUGAGACGGACCAAAAUGUUCGGCCUAGAAUGAUGAGUUGGGUUGCUGGAAAAUUUGUAGCAUUCCAAACUUACAAUUUUUUUUACAAAAUUGUGAUGGCCCGUUUCUGUUGAAAUGGUCCAUCCCAUCUCUUCGAAGCUCAAAAUUGUUUUGCGUCACAUUUACAAUUUUUUAAAAAGGUGAUCGCUAUUUUUGCAUAUUUUAAAUGUUUAAAAUUCGACUCAAUCAGUCAUAAAAGGUAAUUAGAUCUUAUGUGAAUUAGAAGUAAAUGAACAUAAUUUAUUCAUAUAUAUAUAUAUAUAUAUAUAUAAUACUCCCUCCGUCCACUAAUUCAUGACCUAAGUAGCAAAACACGGGUUUUAAGAAAAAAUGUAUUUUUAUUAGUUGAGUGGAGAAAGGGACUCACAAUUAAUGUAUUGUUUAUUAGUUGACUGGAGAAAAAGUGUAUUGUUUUGGGACCCACCAAUUAAAUAUAAAUAAAAACUUACUAAAAAUGGAUAGGUCUUGAGUUGGUGGACGUCCCAAAAAGGAAAGAAGGCCUUGAAUUAGUGGACAGAGGGAGUAUUGUAGGUUUCGAAGAAAGCAAAAUUUUUAUUUCGCAAAAAAAGAAAAAGUUACGAUAGAAGAAGUUGCACCAAUAAUAAGGUCUAUUAUGAAAGCCAGUCGUCAAGGCAAGGAAUAUAUCUGCAGAAGUUGAUGAAGCAAUAACGUGAUGCAGCUUUCACUUCGAAGCAAAGCAAUAUUCUAGUACUUCCCCGAUUCUAAAAAAAGAAUUUUAUAAGAAAAUAACACGAGUUUUAAUAAAAAAUUUGUUAAAUUUAUAAGUGAAGAAAAGAUCUCAUCUUAGGGGGAAAAAAAAAGAUCUCGUCUUAGGGAUAGUGAUUUGGUGAAUAAAAAUGAUAGGUCAUAUAUGAUAGAUUAUGUAAAUAAAUUAAUAUUUUAAAAAUAAAAUAUUGUAGUGUAGUGUUUAUAAAUGAGAUGAUACUAUUUGUCGUAUUCGUGAACAUUAAAAAAUGAAAAACUGAGACGAUUUGUUCUGGGAUAAAAAGAGUAAUAAAUUAUGUAGUCGAGAUAUAAUAACACGAGCUUUAAAAGCGUCACAUGCUAAGCAAAUUAAAAUCCUCUAAUUAUUUUAAAGUUUCAAUUUAUUCUUUUUGGUGAGGUGUGUUAGAAAAGGAUGAAGGAAUUCAAAUUUUGGUGGAUUAUGUGUACAUGGACAAAUUGUAGGCUAACACGAUCAGCCGACCAAAUAUAUACGCAGCUGUUUCAUACACGUUUAAAACUUUCUCAAAAGUAGGACGUGGGCGGGACCCACUUGCUGCGCAGGUGCUCAUCUAGUUCUCAUCUUUAAUCAAAUGUAAGGAAACAAACAAAUUUUGAUGGAAACGUGUAGAUUUAAAAUUGUAUGAAUCUGCAUAGUUUAGAUACGAAAAUUUAUGAAACGAAAAUAUUUCAGAUAACGUAAUUUAUGGAACAAAAAAAAGGUAGAACCUUUUCGGAAUUAUAAAUUUGAUAUACAUUUUAACUAAUUGCUGAUUAAAUCUCAGUUUUUCGACUUUUUUUGUAAAUAAGUUUUGAAACUUUUCAAAUAUGUGUAAAUAGUUCGAUUUUUAGUAAAUUAGCGUAUCUCAAUUUUCUGCAUGAGUUUUGAGUGGAGAUUUAAAUUUUUAUUUAACGGUGAAAUUUACGAUUAACUAUAUAGGAGUUUAUUAAAAUUAUUGUUUGAAAUGUCUAAUUGCUAAAUAAUUGAGUUGGGAGUUAGGUUAGGAUCAUAGAGUUAGGACUUUCCCAUUAUUAGUUCUGAAUUAAAUAUAAUAAAAUUGACAACACGAGAAAGCUAUAUGAAAAAUGAGAUUCAAAAAUCUUGAAUUAAUUUGAAAUUUGAACGCCACAUGUGUAUUAUACCAGUAUACGAAUCUUAAUUCCCAAAUUCAUAAUUAAAAGAAUUGAAUUUACUAUGAAGAAAAAAAAUGAUAAUUUUAUUACAUUAUUCUAAAAAUUGUGACUGAUUUGAAAUAAUAUAAAAAAAUAUAGUAAUUUUAUUAAAUUAUUCUAAAAGAAUUAUUCUAAAAAUUGUGACUAAUUUUAAAAAUAAUUUGAAGUAAGAUUUAACAAUAAAGUUUAAUAAAUGAACGUAGUUGACUUCCUGCUUCCAAUACGACUCUCUUGUGCGUCAUUAAUCAUUCAAAACUCCGAAAAGACACGCGACAUCAAAAACAACUCCUCCAUCUCGCCUUUUUUUUUUUUUUUUUUUUUUUUUGAAGAAUCUUUCAUUCAAACCGUUGAAAUCAUCACACCUUUAAAACAUGUUCCAUUUUCACCUCUGAUUCCACGAUUCUCUUAUAAAAGUUAUUGUUUGCAAGAUUUCUGUAGCUAUGACUCAAUCUGGGAAGAAGCAUCUGCAGGAAAACAGUAAGUUUUUCGGAUUUUCCUAUUUUUUGGAUCAUGGUUUUAGUCAUGAUUUAUUAUUAUAAUUUUUUUUUUCUUCUGAAAUGGACUUUUUGUUGUUUUUUGGUUUCUUUCUUUGUUAAAUUAUUUGAGAAGUGUAUCCAAAAGUGAAGGUGAGGGUACAGAGAGAAGAUGCUGACCAAUAUGUUUAUGAGAAGAAUUCCUUGCAGUCUUUGAAGGCUUUUGAAUGGCUAUCUCUCAACGAUUCCUCUUCUUCAGGUAAUUUUAUUUUAUUUUUUAAAUCGAUUUCGUUUUUUAUAUCUUGAUAUUUGAUUAACUUUUUGGUUGGAGCAAAUAUAUUUACUUUUUAUGUUACUUUUCUUGAAAUUCUGUCCUGUUUUAAUAGGCUUUUUUUGGGGUACUGUAAUUGGUUGUGUUUGAAUUUUCAGAUUAUUGUAAUUAAUUUGUCAAGUUGGUCCUUUGAUGUUUUGAAUUUGAUUAGUUGUUGAUGAGCAAUCCGUAAAAAUGGCUCUAAAUUCUGAUCAUGUUAUCUUGAUGAGUGACUUAGAGGGUUGUUUGGCUAAGCUUAUUUUAGAGAGCUUACAAUAUGUUUUUCAAGAGCUUAUAAGUUGUUAGAGUGUUUGGAUGAUUGAGCUUAUAAGAGUGUUUGGAUGAUUGAGCUUAUAAGCUAGAGAAAAAAUUAUGAGUUAGAAAGAAAAUUGGAGUUAAAAUUGGAAGGGUAUAAGUUGGAAAUAACAAAUCAUAAUUGGGUUAUUGUUGUUUAUAAAUUUAAGUCAAAAUAAGUUGAGAUUGAGGAACUUAGUUUUCAAAAAUCUUAUAAGUUGUUGGAGCUCAUUUCUACAACUUUUAAGCUGUAUAGGAGCUUAUUUUGCCAAACAUUUCACCAAAACUUAUAAGCUCCUAAACAACUUAUAAGCUCAGCCAAACACCCCCUUAUACGAUGUGGAGAAUGAGAGCCGAUUGACUGUAUAGUCUGUAUUGAUCUUUCCGAGUGGAACUUGAACUCGUGUUUUCUCUAAGAUUACAGAGUUGUUUACUAUGUAGAAUGUAAGAAAGAGUUGCAGCCUUCAUCAAUCUCAGAGCUACUGUUUCGUAGCUAGUAAAGAUCAAUAUAAUGCAGUAAGAUCAAAUAACCAUUUUCUCGUCUUCACUGCUAUGGUUGCUGAGAUAUGAUGCACUUGAAUUCUAUGAAGUUUGCUUGUUAUGUUGUAUGUAAAGAGCCUAUUUUAUUUCAAAGGGUAACAUUGAGUUCAUCAUUGUCUAUUGAGCAUAAAUCUUGUUGCUUGCAUUAUGCUCAUGAAUAAAGUUCAUUGUGAUUAUGCUAAGCUGUAUAAUGCAAUGCUCUGCUCAAGCGUUUGCUACAUAGAAACAUUAAAGAUUAGCUUGCAAUUCUUCAUAGUAAGUGCAUUGGCUAGUCUUGAACGUUUCUCUUUGGAUGUGCAGAUGAUUCCCCAAGGCCCGUUGUGAGGGUUCCCCACUCUUAUGUCCCUCUAUCACCUCCUCCGAGCUUCUACAGAUCCAAAGGUUUGGCAUUUUGCUCGUUGGAUUAUGACAAUAUCGGUACUGAGUUUUAGACGAACACAAAAUGAUAAUAAUCUCUUGCUCAACAGAGGAAACAAACAAAAAGAAUGCAGAUGUGAAAGAGAACCAAAAAAGCGUUAGAGCGACUUCAGCCCCACGCCCACGUGCAGUCUUAUCGAGUCCAGGUUAGUUACAAAGUUCAUCUAUGUACGCAUACAAGAUUUUCUGCUAGCAUGAAUUUCUUGCUGUCUGGUUUCCAAAAUCGUGAUUUUAUAUUUUUGGAUCUAAUAUGUUUGGUGCAUAUGAUUAAAAGGUUGCAAGUAAUUUAUCUUGUAGGUUGUGACUCGUGAAUAUCCAAAUAAGAAUGUUGGUUUUUAUUUUAAUUUUUAUGAAAGAACAAGUAAAUUUAAAGAUCAUGUGACGUUAGAUUCAAACAUGAGAUCUAUGGCUUCAAGCAUUAAUCAUGCUACCAUAGGAAUGUUGAUUUUAGACACGACUUAUAGCUACUGGGGUGAACUAAUCAUCGCACCUAUCCGGUUUUGGUGUAAAUCAUGAAAAUGAGCUGCAUUGUCGUAAGCAACACAGUCGAGUCUUAUGCUUAGCAUAGGGGGUGUUUGGCUGAGUUUAUAAGCUCCUUAAAACAGCUUAGCCAAACACCCACCCCCUACACUUCAUAAAUAUCUAUGUAACUUCAUUUUAGUAAAUCUGAGUGUUGAAAAGAAAGAGUUACAAUGCAUAGUUUCUGUAGUUAUAAGGUCCUCUUUCAAAAUAUGUGAUGCAUUUACAUAAACUAUGCUUCACAUUCAAUUGGAUUUUCUACAUUGAGUUUAGACAGCACUCUACUAAGAACAUCACCACUUGUGUUUAUCUCUGUCUUGCUCAGACAACGAUGGGAUCAUCGGACAAAGAACACCAACACGAGCACAAAUGCAACCUUCUCCCGGCCCUAAAAACCGCGUUGCAAGUCAGAACAGACCCACACUAUGCAAGAUUUUCCCAAAAUCCACUACUGCUGAGGGCACACCUAGAAAAACACAUGCCAAGGAAUCAUCUGAGCUGAAAAACGACGUUCGAGCAAAAGGGAGAGUCACAGCACUGACUGAUUCAAGAACAAGAGCAGCAGGCUAGCAGCUGCACAGAGGAAAAAGACAGCUCCAUCAUGAGUUCUUAUGAACUGAUUUGGAGCUUAUACUUCUGCAGAUUUCUUCCUAGCAAUCAUUGCCCGAGAAUUCGAGUAACAAUUUUGAGUUUGGCAGAGAAAGAUGGGUCAGAUAAGGUAGAACGUUUUUUUGUUUUUUGGGAACAGCAGAAGGCUUUGUUUGUGUACAUAUGAUUUACGAAGUUGCAGUUGGAUUCUUCUGUUGCAAAAAUCUUAUUAUGACGUUAUGGAUACAUGCCACGUUUAUAUUUAUGAUAUAAAGUGGAGGUACAUUAACUUUUUCAAUCUAAACUGUCCUAAUAAUAAAAAUAUUAUUGAAAUCACUAUUCUUAUUCCUGCUACUAAAAAAGAUGUUCAUUUCUUAAAAUAUCCUAUAUAUAUAUAUAUGUAGGAGGAACCAAGGGAAGGGUCAGCCCCCACAUUCAAACCCCUUUUUUUUUAUCAUUAACAAUGACUUGUUCGGCUUGUUUAUCAUAAGGAAUUCGAACAACUGCUUCAAAUACAAUAUCGGGAAUCGAGAAUCUCGUGUGUACGAGGUCGUGUGAAUUGCAUUUGAGGGAUAUAAUAAAGAGUUAUUUGCAGUAAAAUAUAUCAACUUUCGGUGAAUUCUGAUUUUUUUCAUGACUUUUUAAUUUCAUAAUAAAAUACACCACUUCCACGAUUUGUCUGAUUUGUCUCAUGAAUGUCAAAUUCCUCUAAAUCAAUCCUGAUAUAGACGCUUGAGGUGCAAGAAAUUGCCAACGGGCAAUUGAACAGAGCAAAUUAUUCAAAUAUAAGAGAGUUUCUGGCACUCAUUUCUGAUAUUUCAGGCGUUUAUCUCAGCAUUGAUUUGGAAGAAUUUGACACUAAUGGGGAAAAUCAGAUAAAUCGUGAAAAUAGUAUUAUUUCAAAAUUGAAAAAUCAUGGGAGAAACCAAAAUUCAGUAAAAGUUGGUGUAUUUUACGGAAAAUAAGCUUAUAAUAAAAUACACAAGUAUGUUAUUUUUAAAAUAUUAACACAAAAUUUUGUUAUUGGUGUAAUUCGAACUUAGGAUGUUUUGUUUGAAAAGGUUUCUAUUGAAAUCUCUUCAUUUGAGUUUACUAGUUUAGUCUUUCUUGUUUCUGGGCUAGACGUCAAAUUUGUAUAUGGCCCAAAAGGCAACUAGUGGGCCACAUAGCUAAAUGGGCCGAAAUUUUAGGUAGAGAGCCCAAUGGGUCAAAAUUGCAGCUACGGAAGGAGAUUGGAGUACUUGGACCGUGGACAUAUCGCUGGGGUUUUUUAGACAAAAUUUUAAUUAUAUAAAUAAAAAGGGCACAGAUAAAAUUAGUAAUGCGAAAAAAUUUCUAAAUAUUUGACUUUCAAUAAUACAGAGACUCUUUACAGAAAUGAAUAUUUUUUAAACAAAAUACUACUUAUAAUAGAUUGUUUAUCAUCGUAUCUUAAGUGACUUGAUUUGUAGGUAUUAUUGUUCGUUUUUGAGUCAAAUGCUUAUUAUGAUGUUGUAAUUGCAAAAAAUUAAAUGAAAGUACUGUAAUUUACCAUAUUUUAAUACUCCCUCCAUCCCACGAAGUAUGACCCAAUUUUCUUUUUAGUUUGUCCCACGAAGUUUGACCUGUUUCUAAAAAUGACAAAAAAUUUAUCAUUUAUUCACCUUUUUCACUUUUUCACCUACCACACUUAACACACAAAAUACCAAUUUCUUAAUUUCCGUGCUGAAAAGAAAUGAGUCAUACAUACUUCAUGGGACGGAGGGAGUAUUUGAUAAAAAUUGUAUAUACAGACAUGAUGGGUUAUUGUGUGAUCACAAGCUUGAGCAGACUUAUUCAAGGAGAUUUGCAGCUCAAAAUUUGUGUUCACAUUUUAGUGCCAAAUACAAACAAGGGAAAGUGUAGACUAGUCUACCAUGGAGUGCUACAACCAAUUUUGGUCUUAAUAAAAUGCAAGUGUGAAUUUUUCUUCUUAUUCAGUUUCUAUACACAAUUGAAAUAGCUCUCAAUUGACCCUACAAGAAUGCUUCAACUUGUGAUGUCAAAUCAAUUAUAGGUAGUAAAGACUGUGAAGUAAUAUCAAAAUAUGAUUAACUUACAUCAUUCAGGAAAUUUUAUAUGCAUUUUCUUGACAUGUUUCACAUACAUGUCAUAAGGUGAAGCCAAAAACAUAUGAGAUCAUCAUUUUAAUUCAAUAGUACUUACAAGUUAAAGCAAAAAUCAAUAUAUCAUGAUUUGACAUUAACAAACUAAUGCAGCACAUGAAAUAUAAAGCAUAGUGAUUAAAGUGGUAAAAAAUAAAGACACCCUUCUUUUGAAACGGCCUAGUGGUAAAGUGAAUAUAAAUGUGAUUUAAUUCUGUCACAUGCACAUAGUUUUUCAAAUUUGACUUGCAAAUUGCUUAGGAACAUGUAUUUACCAAAUAUUAAGAUUAAGAUUUGUAUAGAAACAUGAAUUUACAGUGUGCUCCGAAAGUAGAGACUGAGGAUUACAUAAAUCCAAAAGGAAAAAACAAGAAGAAAAGUCCACAACGAGGUGCUAACUAUUUUUGUGAAUGAUAUAAUGCCAUGUUCUAAGACACCCCCAAAAUAUCAUCAAUUAUUAAAUGAAUCCAUAAAUGCACCAUGAAUAAUUAUAUGUUGACAUUCAACGAAAUGGGGCUAGCUAAAGCCCAAAGCCAGAGAAAAAUCGAGGCAGAGAACCUUCCAUCCCACACUAUAAAACAGCACCUUCACUCUCCAAUUUUCUCAUCACACUUAGCAAACUCAUUCAUAUCAAAUCUUCAUUUCUCUUCCAUUUCUCCAAAUUCCAAGAGGUAAUCAUGGGUGUGAUCACUUACGAUGUAGAGACCCCUUCCUCCAUCCCGGCCGGGAAGCUCUUCAAGGCCCUGGUGAUCGACUCCGACACCCUCAUCCCCAAGAUCCUGCCUCAGGCCAUCAAGAACGUCGAGAUCUUGGAAGGAGACGGCGGCGCCGGCACCGUCAAGAUCAUUCAUUUUGGCGAAGGGAGUCAGUAUAAGAGCGUCAAGCACCGUGUGGAGGCCAUCGACAAGGAGAACUUCACCUACACCUACACCAUCAAUGAAGGUGAUGUUCUCGCAGAUGUCAUUGAAUCCAUCACUUACCAUAUCAAGGUCGUCCCAACCGAAGAUGGAGGAAGCAUCUGCAAGAACAGGAGCAUUUACAACACCAAGGGUGAUGCUGUGAUUGAUGAGGAGAAGAUCAAGGAGGGGAAAGACAAGGCCCAACAUAUGUUCAAGGCCAAUGAGGCUUACAUCACCGCCAACCCCGACUACUGAAAGAGACGAGGCUUCAUAUAUCAAUGAUGUCAUUUUAUAUAUAUACGUGGUUUCUGAUAUGAGAUAAUUGGUGUGCGAGAGACUAUGUAUAGGCUUAAUUGCCUAGAGUGAUAUCGAUUUACUUUGUGUGAUUUUUGAAUUUGUGUUGAGUGAAUAUUAUUGUAUUGAAUUUGUGUUGCACUAAAUAAAGAAGCAUAGUUUUUUUUUUUUUUUUUUGAAUUAAUAAAGAAGCAUAGUUAAUUGCAAGUUUGGUGGUCGUGGGAUUAAUAUUUUUAUUGUUCUCUUGUGGUUGUUUUGUUUCUUUAUUUAGGGGUAACUAAUAUAUCCAUAUAUUUCAGAUUAGCAUAUGAACAUAAAUUUCACCUCAAAAUACAAGAACUUUCAUUUUUUAUUUUUUAUUUUUUUCUUUCUAACUUUGCACCUGAUAAAUAAUUUAACGUUGAAAACUGAGGAAGAUGUUGGAAUUAAUCUAUGUAUGCAUAGAGUUUUGAUAUAUAUUUUUAAUGAAUGAAUACUGAGGUAGAAGUCAGAAUUAUCUUUACAUGCAACGAAUUUUUUUUAUAAACAACAUAGUUAGACUAGUAAUGAAAUAUUGUCGUUUCAUCAUAAAAUAAGUCCUAUAUUUUUAGAUGAUCAUUUAAAGCAUUUUUUUUUUUGCAAUUUAAGACUAAGAGCAGUGGCGGAUCCAGGGGGGGCUAGGGGGGGCUUCAGCCCCCUCCCAAUUUUUGAGUUUUUUUUUUUAAAUUAUAGAUAUAUAUUUAUUAUUUUGUUUUAUAUCUAUAUAUAUGUGUAUAUAAAUAAAAAAAUACAAGAAAAAAUAUAGUAAUACAUUAUUUAUAGUAUCCAACUAUCCAUAUUAAUUGCUCAACACAUUGAGUUGUUACAUUUAUAGUAUUAUUUUUAUCAUUUUUUCUUUCUUAGUUAAUUUUUAAUGUUAAAUUUGAGUCAAUUCUAAAGGUAAAAGUAAAAUUACUAAUUACUAACAAUGAAAAUUAGUUUAUUUGUUUAGAAGAUGAAACAAUUUUUUUUUAAGAAAAAUGAAUAAAAGUACGUUUUUAUAUGCUUUCAAUCUACUUGAUGUUGAAUUAAUUGAAUUGCGAACAAUUAUCUUAUUAUAUUAAGUGAUUGUUGAAAAAAUGUAUGAAAUGAAGUGUACGGAAUGCUCAAAAAAAUUUGCUUCGGGGGCUCCCGCCCCCGAACCCCCGUGUAAAUAUUUUCAAGCACCGUAGUCCAAUAGAUUCAGCCCCCCCUAACAUUGAAUCCUGGAUCCGCCCCUGACUAAGAGGGUUGUGAGUUCACGAUCAAGGCCGUACUUCAUUAUUCGUGAUUCAUGAUUUUGAAUUCGUUGUUCGGGUCCAAUAUUUAGGUUCACAUAAUUAGGUCUUCGAGUUGUGUGUUUGUAAUUGAAUCCGUUGAAAAUAUUUUUAAUUUGUGUGCAAGAUUAGGGGGAAAAAAAUGAAAUUUUAUAUAUUUGGAAAUAUGAUUUAUAGCUCAUGUGCAAAAUAAAAAAAUAUAUAAAUUUUUUUAAGAUGCUAUUACCACUUUUAUUUAUUUUCGAGUUGAGUUCAAAAUCAUAAUUAAGGAAGACUGAUAAAAUCUAGAGGUCAAUCGUUUAGGUUGCUCACUGACAAUGAAAUGUGCAAAAUUAAUAUAAAAAUAGGCCAGUGAACCAUGUGGAUUGAAUCGGAGUCUUUUUUAGGUUCAUUUAUAUAGUUGGACAUAAAAGGGGAUAGAGGUUUAAUUCACUCAGUAUAAAAGUUGACGGUGAAUUUUAGACCAAUUAAUGAGAAACAAAUUUUUUAGAAAAUCAAGAAUUUAUGAAUAACUUUUAAUAAAAUAUCAUAUAUAUUUAUUUUCUUUAUCCAGUACUUGAUUUUUAUCCUGUGAUUAUUUAUUAGAUUGCUGAUCCAGUGACUUGAUUUUUAUUGUAUUGGAAAUUGAAUUAUAUAUUCUAGGGUAAAUUUAAUCUAAAACUAUAAUAAAUUUUUGUAAUAUUUUAUUUUUUUUCCAUAAUCUUUUAUUCUUGUUUCAUAAUCUAUUUGAAAUCUCUUGAUUUGAGUUUAGUCUGUAUCUCUGGGCCAAAACGUCAAAUUUGUAUAUGGCCCAAAGGCUUUUAAUGGGCUACAUAGUCAAAUGGGCCGAAUUUUUAGGUCGAGAGUCCAUUGGGUCAAAAUUGCAACUACAGAACGGAAUAUUCUAUUUAAGGAGAUUGGAGUACUUGGACGACGCUGGGGUCAAAAAUUAUUAAUGCGAAUUUUUUUCUAAAUAUUAGACUUUUAAUAAUACAGAGACGACUCUUUACAGAAAUGAAUAUUUUUUAAACAAAAUACUACUUAUAAUAUAUAGUUUAUCCUCGUAUCUUAAGUGACUUUAUUUGUAGGUAUUAUUGUUCGUUUUUUAGUUAAAUGCUUAUUAUGAUGUUUGUAAUUGCAAAAAAUUAAAAGGCAUUCGUAUGAAAAUUGUAUAUUCAGAAAAGAUGGGUUAUUAUUGUGUGAUCACAAUUCACAAGCUUGAGCAGACUUAUUCAAGGAGAUUUGCUGCUCAAAUUUGUGUUCACAUUUAUUGCCAAAUACAAUCAAGAGAAAGUGUAGACUAGUCUACCAUGGAGUGCUACGUACAACCAAUUUUGGUCUUAAAAUAAAUGCAAGUGUGAAUUUUUCUUCUUAUUCUGUUUCUAUAUAUAUAAUUGAAAUAGCUCUCAAUUGACCCUACAAGAAUGCUUCAACUUGUGAUGUCAAAGCAAUUAUAGUAAAGACUGUGAAGUAAUAUAAAAAUACGAUUAACUUACAUCAUUCGGGAAAUUUUCUAUGCAUUUUCUUGACAUGUUUCACAUGCAUGCCACAAGGUGAAGCAAAAAACAUAUGACUUCUUAUUCAUUUUAAUUUAAUACUAAGUUAAAGUUAACUUAAAUCAAUAUCAUGAUUUGGCAUUGACGAACUCAUGCAGCUUAUAAAAUAUCAAGCAUAAUGAUUAGAUAAAAAUCGUCAUACUCGAGUGGUAAAAAAGAAAGAUACAGAUCCUUUUGGGACGGCUAAUGGUAAAGUGAAUAUAAACGUGGUUUAAGUCUGUUAUAUAGACCUAUUUUUUUAAAAUGAGAUUUGCAGAUUUCACAGAAACAUAGAUUUAUCAAAUAAUACGACUUGUCACACAUAGUUUUUGAUGUAUGAUUUGUCUGUAUCGAAUCUUAAUAUCAUAAUGAAUAGUUUUUUUUUUCACAUUUUUUCACUAUUUUCAAUACUAAUUACAAUACAUUUUCACCACUUUCAAUACUAAUUACUCCCUCCGUCCCGGUCAAAGUGGUGCACUUCUUUUGGGCACGGGAUUUAAAGAGAAUAAGAUUGUAGUGUAAAAGUGUGUAAAUGUGUGUGGGGCCAUAUUUUUUGUAGUGUAAAAUUAUUACCAAAAAAGGAAAUGCACCACUUUCGGUGGGACAGCCCAAAAAAGAAUACGCACUACUUUCGGUGGGAUGGAGGAAGUAUAAUAUUUUUCACUAUUUACAAUAUACUCAACAAUUUUGUAUUAAAAUUCGUACCCCUUAGGAAGUUAUUUGGGGGUCGGUAGAGGAUAAUGCCAUGUUCUAUGACACCCCAAAAUAUCAUCGAUUAUUAAAUCAAUCCAUAAAUGCACCAUGAAUAAUUAUGUCUACAUUCAACGAGAUGGGGCUAGCUAAAGCCCAAAGCCAGAGAAAAAUCGAGGCAGAGAACCUUCCAUCCCACACUAUAAAAUAGCACCUUCACACUCUCCAAUUUUCCCAUCACACUUAGCUAAUCUCAUUCAUAUCAAAUCUUCACUUCUCUUCCAUUUCUUCAAAUUAAAAAAAAAAGGGAAUCAUGGGUGCGAUCACUUAUGAUGUAGAGACCCCUUCCUCCAUCCCGGCCGGGAAGCUCUUCAAGGCCCUGGUGAUCGACUCCGACACCCUCCUCCCCAAGAUCCUGCCUCAGGCCAUCAAGAACGUCGAGAUCUUGGAAGGAGACGGCGGCGCCGGCACCGUCAAGAUCAUUCAUUUUGGCGAAGGGAGUCAGUAUAAGAGCGUCAAGCAUCGUGUCGAGGCCAUCGACAAGGACAACUUCACCUACACGUACAGCAUCCUUGAAGGUGAUGUUCUCUCAGAUGCCAUUGAAUCCAUCACUUACCAUAUCAAGGUCGUCCCAACCGAAGAUGGAGGAAGCAUCUGCAAGAACAGGAGCAUUUACAACACCAAGGGUGAUGCUGUGAUUGAUGAGGAGAAGAUCAAGGAGGGGAAAGACAAGGCCCAACAUAUGUUCAAGGCCAUUGAAGCUUACAUCACCGCCAACCCCGACUACUGAACGAGACGAGGCUUCGUAUAUCAAUGAUGUCAUUCUAUAUACGUGGUAUCUCUGAUGCGAGAGGAUCGGUGUGCGAGAGACUAUCUAUAGGCUUAAUUGCCUAGAGUGAUAUUGAUUUACUUUGUGUGGUUUUUGUAUUUGUGUUGAGUGAAUAUUACUGUAUUGAAUUUGUGUUGCACUAAAUAAAGAAGCAUAAUUAAUGUUGCAAGUUUGGUGGUAGUGGGAACAUUUUUAUUUUUCUCGUGGUUGUCUUGUUAUUUUAUUUAAGUGUAAUUAAUAACCGUAUAUUUCGGAUUACGCAUAUGAGUAUAAAUUAAAUUUCGUCUCAAAAUACAAUAACUUUUUUUUUUCUCUAGCUUUGCACCUGAUCAUAAAUAUUUUUGACGAAUAAAUAUUGAUAUAGAAGCCAAAGUUAUCUUUAUGUGCAACGAAAAUCUUCAUAAGCAAUAUAAUUUGAUUAGUAAUAAAAUAUUGUCGUUUCAUCAUAAAAUAAGUCUCAUAUUUUUAGAUGAUCAUUUAAGGCAUUAUUUUUCACAAUUUAAAAUUAAAGGGCUGCGAGUUCACGAUUGAUUCAUGAUUUUGGUUCAUAUAUUUAGGGCUUCGAGUCGUGGAUUCGUGAUUGAGUUGUGAAUGUUUGAAAAUAUCUUUAAUAUGCUUUGGAAAAAAAAAUUAUAUAUUUGGAGACAUGACUUAUGGCUCAUGUGCGAAAUAGAUAAAUGUUAUAAAAUUUUGUAUUUUAGAUACUAUAACCACUUUUAUUUAUUUUCGAGUUUGAGUUCAAAAUAUUACUCCCUCCGUCCCAAUAAAAGUGGCCACAUUUCCUUUUUGGGUGUCCCAUUAAAAGUGGCUACUUUCUAAAAAUGGCAAAAGUUUACUUUAAUUAAGUCAACAAUUACUCACUAAUUUGGUCAACAAUUGUAGGCCAUUUUCUAAAAAUGUCAAAAUUACUUACUAAUUUGGUCAACAAUUGUAGGCCACUUUCUAAAAAUUACUCACUAAUUUUGGUGGGUCACACUCAAUUAAAACAUAACAAUUCCCUUCUUAAUCUCCGUACCUAAAAAAAAGUGGUCAUUUUUAUUGGGACGGAGGGAGUAAUAAUUAAGGAAGACUAAUGAAUCUAGAGGUCAAUAUAUCGUUUAGGUUGCUCACUGACAAUGAAAUGAGUAAAAUUAAUAUAAAAAUAGGCACCAUGUGGAUUAAAUCGGAGUCUUUUUCAGGUUUAUUUAUUUNUUAGGUUAUUUAGUUUAGUUGGACAUAAAAGGGGUUGGGAGGUUUAAUUCACUCAUUAUAAAAAUUGACGGUGAAUUUUGGACCAAUUAAAGAGAAACAAUCUUUAGUUAUAUCAACUCUUAUUAUAUUUACGGAGACUAUUUAUAGAAAAUUCAAGAAUUUAUGAAUAACUUUUAAUAAAUUAAAUAUCCUUUAUACAUUUAUUUUCUUUAUCCAGUGACUAUUUAUUGGAUUGCUUAUCCAGUGACUUGAUUUUUAUUGUAUUGGAUAUUGAAUUAUUAUAGGGGUAAUUUUGACAUCUCGCCGGGGAUUUUUUAGACAAAACUUUAAAAUAAAAAAGUGCAAAUAAAAGUUACUAAUGCGAAAAAUAUUCUAAAUAUUAGACUUUUAAUAAUAUAGAGACUCUUUAACUCUUUACAGAAAUUAAUAUUUUUUAAACAAAAGAUACUAAUAAUAGAUUGUUUAUCCCCGUAUCUUAUAAAGUGACUAGAUUUGUACGUAGGUAUUAUUGUUCGUUUUUGAGUCAAAUGCUUAUUAUGCUGGUUUUAAAAGGCAGUACUGUAAUUACCAUGCAUAUUUUAAUAUUCGUAAGAAAAUUGUUAAGAAAGAUGGGUUAUUGUGUGAUCACAAGCUUGAGCAGACUUAUUCAAGGAUAUUUGCUGCUCAAAAUUUGUGUUCGCAUUGUCUUGCCAAAUACAUACAAGAGAAAGUGUAGACUAGUCUACCAUGGAGUGCUACAACCAAUAUUUGGUCUCAAAAUAAAUGCAAGUGUGAAUUUUUCUUCUUAUUCAGUUUCGAUAAUUGAAAUACCUCUCAAUUGACCCUACAAGAAUGCUUCAACUUGUGAUGUCAAAUCAAUUAUAGGUAAUAAAGACCGUGAAGUAAUAUCAAUAUAUGAUUAACUUACAUAGUUACAUAAAUCUAACAGAAAAAAAAACAAGAAGAAAAGUCCACAACGAGGCACUAACUAAUUUUGUAAAUGAUACUCUCUUCGUCCUCUAAAUAACUUCAUAUCUGUCCCCAAGGGGACACCAAGCGGUGCGAAUAGUGAAUAAAAAAUAAAAUAAAAAAUAAUUAUGUGAAUAGUGAGGUCUCGGGUUCAAACUCCACUGCCCCCCUCCCCAACACCCCCAUGUAAAAAAAUAAAAAAUAAUAAUAACUUCAUAUCUUUUUUUUAGGUUGUCUCCCAAAUAAUUUACUAGUACUUUAUUUUAGGACACUAUCCCAACUUUUCAUAAUACUUCAUUUAUUCUUUUUUUUUUCACCACUCUCAAUACUAAUUACAACACCUUUUCAUCUUUUAUUAUUAUUAUUAUUAUUAUUAUUAUUAUUAUUAUUAUUAUUAUUAUUAUUAUUAUUAUUAUUAUUAUUAUUAUGCACUCAAUAAUUUUAUCUUAAAAUCAAUGGGCCCCCUCAAAAGAUUAUUUGGAGGAUGGAGGGAGCAUAAUGCCAUGUUAUAUGACACCACAAAUAUCAUCAAUUAUUAAAUUCAAACCAUAAUUAAUGCAUCACGAAUAAUUGAGUUGCCAUUCAACGAAAUGGGGCUAAAGCCCAAAGCCAAAGAAAAGUCGAGGUAGAGAACCUUCCAUCCCACACUAUAAAAUAGCACCUCACACUCUCCAAUUUUCCCAUCACACUUAGCUAAUCUCAUUCAUAUAUAUCAAUCACUAAUCAAUCUUCACUUCUCCUCCAUUACUCCAAUUUUUUAAAAAAGAGAAUCAUGGGUGCGAUCACUUAUGAUGUAGAGACCCCUUCCUCCAUCCCGGCCGGGAAGCUCUUCAAGGCCAUCGUGCUCGAGCCGACACCCUCAUCCCCAAGAUCUUGCCUCAGGCCAUCAAGAACGUCGAGAUCUUGGAAGGAGACGGCGGCGCGGCACCGUAAGAUCGUUCAUUUUGGCGAAGGGAGUCAGUAUAAGAGCGUCAAGCACCGUGUCGAGGCCAUCGACAAGGAAACUUGACAUACACGUACACCAUCAUUGAAGGUGAUGCUCUCUCAGAUUUAUUGAAUCCGUCACUUAUCAUAUCAAGAUCGUCCCAACAGAAGAUGGAGGAAGCAUCUGCAAGAACAGGAGCAUUUACAACACCAAGGGCGAUGCUGUGAUUGAUGAGGAGAAGAUCAAGGAGGGGAAAGACAAGGCCCAACAUAUGUUCAAGGCUAUCGAGGCUUACCUCAUCGCCAACCCCGACUGCUGAAAGAGACGAGGCUUCUAUAUCGAUGAUGUCAUUUUUAUAUACGUGGUAUAUAUAUACCUGUGAUGCUAGAGAAUUGGUGUGCGAGAUAUUAUAAAUAGGCUGAAUUGCCUAGCUAGAGCGAUAUCAAUAUUGAUUUACUUUGUGUGGUUUUUGAAUUUGUGUUGAGUGAAUAUUAUUGUGAUGAUUUGUGUUGCACUAAAUAAAGAAGCAUAAUUAAUAUUGCAUGUUUGGUGG
rnacentral:lncRNA from 1 species